rnacentral:lncRNA from 1 species
CUGGCACUUGAGAUUCCAGUUAUCAGGGUGAUUCUUCAGAUCCUCGCAACCUCACUGCUAGUCGUAGCAAUACAAACAAACAUGGUAUAGACAAAAUUAACAUCACACCAAACAUAAGAACAAACUAAAUAAUAGUAAUCUACGCGUUGCUACGAGAUCGUGGGAUCGAGAACUACUAAGAUCGGAAUUACGGUUAUUAAGUUAUGAUUUUCUGAAGUUCUUUUGUGUUUGGUACAAAAAUAAUUGGGUGAUAAAUUUUAAUAUGGUUUCCAUGCUAGAACAGUGUUACUCAGUGAUAGAUAAUAUUACUACCAAAUUGUAGGAACUAGAAUGGACUAAAAAGGAGCUAAUAUGAAUUUUCUAGAGAUUAAACACUAUUCUGGAAUUAUUUUUAUAUUAAAAAUCAUUUCCUAUAUUCCUUUAUCCCAUUUUCACCUGGCUUUGGACUACGCACCAGAUAUCUAAAGAGUGUAGGGACUUCAACGCAAAAACCCCGCAGACUCAGACUACCUUCAAUGUGGAUGGCGGGUUAAUUUUGUUACUCUCUAGGGUUUCUUUUGUAAAUUUCCCAAUCCGAAGGGGUAUGAUCUAAUAUGGGCCGCACGAUUGAACUUGGACGCUCGAGAUUAGAUCGAGAACUUUAUGAAUCGGUAUGCGACGUCGACCCCGGGAUCCAAAAUCUACGGUGUAGAUCACAUCCGACCCGAGACUGCCUUGGUCCGUUAGAUCGGAUCUUAAUGGUUUAGAUACCGCCUACCUAAGCGCUAUACCAGGAGCAAAUCCACGCCGUUCACCGAGAAUCUAACGGCGCCAGCGUUCCGUGACUCAAACACGGUGGCGCUAUCCCCGCCGCGGCGGAGCACUCGCCGGCGACACACGACGGAACGACCCGGGGUUUGUCUACCAACACUACCGGGUGCAAAAUGAUCUAGGGCAUGCAACGAACCAAUGGAGCUGAGUCUUACCCAAGAUUGCAGUGGCGAGGAUGCAGCCCACGGUGACACUUGGUAGGUUGGCGGAGGAGGAGGUCCGUCGAGCAAUUCCGACAACCCCGCCUUAUGCUCCGACCUCAGUGGUCUACGGACGCGUCCCAUGACUCCAGGCGACACGCCCUGCACCCGCCGCAGAGCCCAGCCUGCCGCGAAGGUUGAAAUCAACGACGGUGACAAGUCUCACCGAGGGUCGCACUCCUUACGGAUUUCUCGCAGGGUGAUGGCGAAGGCGUUGGUGGCUCGAG